AUAAAUGUGAAAAAAAUGGAUUAAAUUAGUGAAAUUAAUGUGGCGCGUCCAGAUGGCUCAAAGGGCUGGUCCGAAUGGUACUUUAUCAACACGAGGCAGACGCCUCAUGGCUUAAUGCGUCCGGACGGCUUGCAACGAAUGGCACACGUCUACUUAAACGGCGCACGUUCGGACGAUGAUUCGUGCUCGUCCAGACGGUCUACUUAAAUGGCGCGUGUCCGGACGGUUUGUGAUGCCCGUUCGGAUGGGGUUCGAAUUAUAGAGGGCAGAGCGCCAUUUUCUUCUCGGCAGCUCCGUUUUCCUCUCAAAAUUCUCUCGGUUUUUCCACCUAAAACCGGGAUAUCUUGAAAUCCAGCCAUCCAAUCUUAGAUCCAACUUCGAUAACAUAAUCCUUGAAGCCCGAUCUACAUUUUGACCAAACGUUUUGAGAUAAAUCGUUAAACUCGCAUUUUUGGAGAUUUUUAAUAAAUCUUGUAGAAAUGAGUUUAACUCGGCGUUUUCUCUGGGUUUGGUGUGGUUUGGAGUUGCUAGGAGCUUCCCGAGCAUUUGGUCUUUGCUUGGUGAAUUUUUGCGGCACUUUACGGUUGAGUUUAGAAUCGUUUGGAUAUUGGGAGUACAAGAAAUCUGAGAUGAUAUUUCUGUGAUUGCAGGUACUCCUGAGACGGAUGAUGUUCUAGUAGCAUACUAUUUGGGUUACUACGAUUGAAGCUCGUAGCAACAGUCAUAGUGGGAUAGGACUAUGGUGUCCUUAUUUUGAGUACUUUUGUAUAUGGUUUGUGACGUGUGUGUCACUCAUUAUUUUGUAUAGGCCAUUCUUUUGUAAUAGUUAUGUGUAGUUAAACCUUAAACAGAAAAACUCGUGUUAUGGCUCACUUUGUAUAUAUA